UGAAAGUUGCAUAGUAGAUAUUGUUUUGAGAAUGGAGGAGGAUUUUUUUUUACAGUUACCCUAGAUGAGAUCUCAUAUUUUAUGCCAACGUUUAAUCAACGUAUUAAUCUACUGAAACACUUUUGAAAGAAACUACAAAAACAAAUAAAGUAGUUAUAAUUGUCAUGAAUG